AAAGUUGGAGUAACCAAGGACAGGGAAAGGAGCCAUCCUGGGGUGUCGUCAGGAAGGGAGCUGCCCAGGAGGUAUUCAUUAGAAACUCCUUACUGGAAGGAAUAAUUCCCUGGACGCAGGACUGGAGGGGCUCCAGCUAACAUUUCAUCUGGGCACAUGUGCAUGACUACCUGCCACAGACGAGUUCUCCCUUACUCUGUGAUGUUCUCGACAAGAAACAAAAUGGAUUUGACGUCUGUGGAAUUACUGAACCAGAGCCAGCAACUUAUACACAGUUACUGCCUGUAAUACUUGUCUCCGCUUCUCUGCAACAUAAACAUAGAUGUGACUCAGUAGUGAUUUAAUAACCAUGCAUCUACCCUUAGGAGAAUUCAUAUGGGCCUGUAAUGUCACUUGCUACCGCACAGACAUCAGCAAUGGAACUAUUGCAGGGAGAAUUGUUCUGUAGGCCUGCAGGAGAAGGAAGAGGAAAUGGAUUAAAUUUCAGUGCACAUUCCAGUC